GUUGAACGCUCUGCUGCCACGUGCUCCAGGAAAUAGAAAGCCCCUCCCUGAGAAAGAAAGAAAAAAGCUUUCAAGGAUUUUGGUUUGGAGAAAACAGAUUUAUAAGCUGACUGAAGCCACCGAUGUCAGUGGCCCCAGAGACCAACUUUAUGAGAAGACAUGGAUAAACUAAAAUUUGAGUCUCACUACGAAGUUCUGGCUGGCCUUGAAUUCACUAUGUAGCCCAGACUGCCCUUGAAUUCACAGCAAUUCUCCUGCCUCGGCUUCCAAGUGCUGGGAUUAUAUAGGCACAUACCACCGGGCCCAGCUACAGUAGCUAAAAUUUAAAGCACUCACUGCAUGCCAACUGUUAUCCUUAAUGCUUCUAUGAUAACUGAGUUAAUCCUCUCAACAAUGCUAUUUGGUAAGUUACUAGUACCAUCACUGGUCAUAAAAUGAGUAACUUGCCCAAGGGAACAAGGCUAAUAAAUGUUAGAAGCAGGCUUUGAGCCUAAGCAGUCUGGCUCUACAAGCUGGCAGUAUUGCUUCAGCAAUAUAUACCUAUUUUAGAAGAUUCAGAAAAUACAGAAGUUUGAGAAGAAAAACAAUGAGCUACUAUUCCAUCACUAGAGAGAACUACUGUCAAGAUUUAGUGUGCAUGUGGAUUUGUGUAUUUACCUUAAGAUUUGAACUAUAAUAGACAGUGCUUUCCAACCUUAUCUAUUUUACCUAUGUAUUUGAAUAUUAUUCUAAAACAUGAUCUAAAAAUCUUCACACAUUUCAUACCACUGAAGGUGCCAUAGCUUAUUUAACCAUUUUCAUUCUCAUUUAGGUCCUUCCUGAUUUUUCAUACUAAAUACUGUCAUAGUGAACAUUCUUACAUAUUAUAACCAUCUUGAUAAAUAUCUCUGGUUACUGCCAAACAAGUAAUUCUGAUUAAAAAAAAUAAUAAAACUGCUGAGCCAGUGGUAUGUGCCUUUUUAAAAUUAUUGGUAUAGGGCCGGGGAUUUAGCUCAGCAGUUCCACCGCCUGUCCCAAAAGCCAAAGGACUUCGAGCCCCGGUACCCCCGCCCCCCGCAAAAAAAAGUAAAAUCAUUGGUAUAAAUUCUCAAAUUAUCCACUGGAGAAGCUGCAUCACAUUUAUACUCAAGCCAGCAAUGCAUGUAAAUAUGCAUUUCCCAUAACCGGUUACUCACCACUUUAAAAAAAACUUUGCCAAUUUGAUGGACAAGAUGACAUUUUGUUUGUUUGUUUGUUUAUUGGUACUAAAGAUUGAACCCAGGACCUUCUCACUAAGCUACAUCUUCAGCCUGUUUUUAAUUUUUUUUUUAAGUUCUAAGACAAGGCCUUUCUCUAACCAAAAAUUACUCGGGUUGGGCUCCAGGUUGCAGCCCUCCUGCCUCAGCCUCCUAGGGUGCCGGGAUCACAGGUGUGCACCACCAUGCCCAGCUUUAAUAUUCUUAAUUAGGUAUAAAGCCUUUAGAUUGAGCUUAUUGGUUAAUGGGAUUUUUUUCUUCCUUGAUUCACGUGUUGAUAUCUUUUGUUAUUUUUCUCUUAGAUGUAUUGGCUUUUUCCUUACUGAUUUUAUUAUAAUAAGACUAUACUACAAAUCUUUUCCCAGUUUACUGUUUACCAUUUGGUUGCUUUUUUUUUUUUUUUUUGGUACCGGGGAUCGAACUCGGGUCCUUGCGCUUGCGCAGCAGCGGCGAAACCGCUGAGCUAAAUCCCCAGCCCUUUUAAACCUUUAAUUCCCCUGCAGAAUGUCCUCAGGCAGUGCCUCAUAAGCCUAUAGAGAAGCACCAUAGAGUUCUAGCAGGAGAGUCGGAAUCCACACCAAGCACUCCCUUGACCAAAUAGCUGUGUUUUAUACUUUUGUACCAUUUUCAUAAAUAUGUAUAUGAUAAAUGAAAAUGUUGAUUUAUCUAAAAACAUUAUUGAGUUCAUGGUGAGAUUUUGUCAUUAGGUAUUUUAUUCAACCUGUGAUGCUAAGUGUAAAUUAUUGCCGUGUGGGAAUAAGCGCCUGCUGCUUCCAUCUGGGAUAGUCUGCCUGGGUCAAGUACUGGCACCACAGACGCUGUGGCAUACUAUUGGAAGGUCUUCAGAGGUCUUACCUACCUCUGCAGGAAGUAGGGAAAAAGGGAUCUGGCUGUCACCUCCAAAGAUUGUGGAGACCGUCACACUCAUCACAACCCUACUUGGCUGACGCAGGGUGUUUAGAGCAGUAUUCAAGUUAAGUGAUGGAGUUUCCCCAGGUUAUGUGGGUAAAUGUAAGUGAGGCCUGUGUUCAGGAAUAGAAAACUUGGAAUUUCCUGAUUUAAAAAAACAAAAAGGACUGUUAGUAUAUGGCAAAAGAUGAGUUAGAGGAGGAGACAUAGGCUUAGACAGGUCGGUUUUGCCCUCUGGGUUAUAUGCACUGAACUAGAGAUGUUGGAGCCUGCUAGCAGACUGACGGUUUGGGAGUGAGAAGAGAGAUUUGAGGUAAACAUUUAGGGUUUGGACUCUGUGUCUGUGUGGUAAUUGAAAACACUGGCAGGUUCAUGACACUGCCUGCAAGUAUAGAUAAAGGAGAGCCUAGAAGCUCCAGUGUCUAGGAAAUGGUAGAAGAGAUCAGCCUGAAAAGGUAGAAAUGGUCAGAGAUGAGAAGCUCCAGUAAAAGCAUGUGGUACAGCAGCAGAAUGUUUUCAUUUAAGAAUCAGACCUAUUAGCUGUGUAACUUUAGGCAAGUUUGUCAACUUCUGAGACUGUUGCCUUGUCCCUGUGUGACGAUAAUAAAUAUCUGCUU